ACAUAAUCAGCCAUUAAAUGACCCAACUUAAUUUCAGCGAAACUACCUUAAAAAAGACUAAAACCUGUCUUCAAAGGCGUAGUAUUAGUAGGUGAACAUAAUAGCAGGAAUUAAUCACCUCUUGGAUUGCCAAGAGGUGAUUAAUAGAUGCGAUGGUCCUUGCGGAUGUUAAGGCAAUGUGAUUUCUGCCCAGUGCUCUGAAUGUCAAAGUGAAGAAAUUCAACCUCACCGGGCGUCGAACAGCCAGCUCAGAACUGGUACGGACAAGGGGAAUCCGACUGUUUAAUUAAAACAAAGCAUUGCGAUGAUCCUUGCGGAUGUUAACGCAAUGUGAUUUCUGCCCAGUGCUAUGAAUGUCAAAGUGAAUAAAUUCAACCAAGCGCGGGUAAACGGCGGGAGUAACUAUGACUCUCUUAAGGUA
rnacentral:ncRNA from 1 species